rnacentral:rRNA from 1 species
GACGAACGCUGGCGGCGUGCUUAACACAUGCAAGUCGAACGGAAAGGCCCUGCUUUUGUGGGGUGCUCGAGUGGCGAACGGGUGAGUAACACGUGAGUAACCUGCCCUUGACUUUGGUAUAACUUCAGGAAACUGGGGCUAAUACCGGAUAGGAGCUCCUGCUGCAUGGUGGGGGUUGGAAAGUUUCGGCGGUUGGGGAUGGACUCGCGGCUUAUCAGCUUGUUGGUGGGGUAGUGGCUUACCAAGGCUUUGACGGGUAGCCGGCCUGAGAGGGUGACCGGCAAGAUUGGGACUGAGAUACGGCCCAGACUCCUACGGGAGGCAGCAGUGGGGAAUAGUGCACAAUGGGCGGAAGCCUGAUGCAGCAACGCCGCGUGCGGGAUGAAGGCCUUCGGGUUGUAAACCGCGUUCGCCUGUGACGAAGCGUGAGUGACGGUAAUGGGUAAAGAAGCACCGGCUAACUACGUG